CUAAUUCUAAAUUGAUAUUGCCCAUACUGAGGAGAGCUGUGCCUGAAUCCACCGUCAUCGCGGAGCUAAGGCAGUGAAUUCCACUUCAGUGGUCAGGUUUUGGUGACAGGUUGGAAAUCAUCGGACAGCCUGAGGUCCAUUCCACAAAGGAAUACGGAGGAAUACGGAUUCCAUAUUGUCCUCAGAUCCAGAUAUUCACAGAUUCCAGUGUUUCCAGAUUGCACAGAUUCCCAGUCCUGUUGGCUGGGUGGGGAGCCGGAUCAUGACUGGGACUUUUACUUUAGAAGGAUUUUCCCUUCCUUGCUCAUCGUGUGGUAUGACAAACACUGACACACAUAAGGGCCCCAACGGUUCAAAACUGAACUCAAGGGACAAACAGGGUUGUCUUUUCAUGAGCACUUGAUUAUUUUAGUUUGUUAUUUUUCAUAUCUGUCAUACCUGUUUAUCUAUGUAUGUAUGAACCAUAUUUUGAGUAUUUAAUAUACUGAUUCAAACUUUCA